GUGGGGAAUUUUGGACAAUGGGGGCAACCCUGAUCCAGCCAUGCCGCGUGCGGGAAGAAGGCCUUCGGGUUGUAAACCGCUUUUGUCAGGGAAGAAAUCCUUUGGGUUAAUACCUCGGAGGGAUGACGGUACCUGAAGAAUAAGCACCGGCUAACUACGUGCCAGCAGCCGCGGUAAUACGUAGGGUGCGAGCGUUAAUCGGAAUUACUGGGCGUAAAGCGUGCGCAGGCGGUUUUGUAAGAUCGAUGUGAAAUCCCCGGGCUCAACCUGGGAACUGCAUUGGUGACUGCAAGGCUGGAGUGCGGCAGAGGGGGAUGGAAUUCCGCGUGUAGCAGUGAAAUGCGUAGAUAUGCGGAGGAACACCGAUGGCGAAGGCAAUCCCCUGGGCCUGCACUGACGCUCAUGCACGAAAGCGUGGGGAGCAAACAGGAUUAGAAACCAGGGUAGUCC
rnacentral:rRNA from 1 species